rnacentral:rRNA from 1 species
AGUGAACGCUGGCGGUAGGCCUAACACAUGCAAGUCGAACGGCAGCACAGUACAAGCUUGCUCUUACGGGUGGCGAGUGGCGGACGGGUGAGGAAUACAUCGGAAUCUACUUUUUCGUGGGGGAUCACGUAGGGAAACUUACGCUAAUACCGCAUACGACCUACGGGUAAAAGCAGGGGAUCUUCGGACCUUGCGCGAUUGAAUGAGCCGAUGUCGGAUUAGCUAGUUGGCGGGGUAAAGGCCCACCAAGGCGACGAUCCGUAGCUGGUCUGAGAGGAUGACCAGCCACACUGGAACUGAGACACGGUCCAGACUCCUACGGGAGGCAGCAGUGGGGAAUAUUGGACAAUGGGCGCAAGCCUGAUCCAGCCAUACCGCGUGUAUGAAGAAGGCCUUCGGGUUGUAAAGCCCUUUUGUUGGGAAAGAAAAGCAGCAGGUUAAUACCCCGCUGUUCUGACGUUACCCAAAGAAUAAGCACCGGCUAACUUCGUG